CUGAAUUUCCAGCUUCUCUUGAGAAUGCAGGUCUGCCUCUGGGACUCCCUGGAGGCCAGCCCACAGCCCCGCCCCUGGCUCCCCAGCAGCCACCCACCGCCCCACAGCCAGGUCUGUGCCAGCUCUUGGUGGAGGGCUCUGAAGACAGCUCACUGUCCUCCAGAACCACAUCCCUCCUGGACCACGGCCAGGUCUGUGCCAGCUCUUGGUGGAGGGCUCUGAAGACAGCUCACUGUCCUGCAGAACCACAUCCCUCCUGGACCCAGCCCGACAGCCACACACGGCAGCUCAGACCCGAGGCUGAGGGCACAGGAGUGGACGGCUGCUCCACCUCGGCCAGGCGCGCAGGACAUCGCCCUCCUCU
ensembl:lincRNA